rnacentral:rRNA from 1 species
UACGAAGGGUGCAAGCGUUACUCGGAAUUACUGGGCGUAAAGCGUGCGUAGGUGGUUUGUUAAGUCUGAUGUGAAAGCCCUGGGCUCAACCUGGGAAUUGCAUUGGAUACUGGCAGGCUAGAGUGCGGUAGAGGGUAGUGGAAUUUCCGGUGUAGCGGUGAAAUGCGUAGAUAUCGGAAGAACACCAGUGGCGAAGGCGGCUCACUGGACGACUGUUGACGCUGAGGUACGAAAGCGUGGGGAGCAAACAGG